rnacentral:rRNA from 1 species
UACGGAGGGGGUUAGCGUUGUUCGGAAUUACUGGGCGUAAAGCGCACGUAGGCGGCUUGGCAUGUCGGGUGUGAAAUCCCAGGGCUCAACCUUGGAACUGCCUUUGAAACUCCUGGUCUUGAGGUCGAGAGAGGUGAGUGGAAUUCCGAGUGUAGAGGUGAAAUUCGUAGAUAUUCGGAGGAACACCAGUGGCGAAGGCGGCUCACUGGCUCGAUACUGACGCUGAGGUGCGAAAGCGUGGGGAGCAAACAGG